rnacentral:rRNA from 1 species
AUACAGAGGUCUCAAGCGUUGUUCGGAUUCAUUGGGCGUAAAGGGUGCGUAGGCUGUAUGGUAAGUCAGAUGUGAAAUUUUAGGGCUCAACCCUGAAACUGCAUCCGAUACUGCCGUGCUAGAGGAUUGGAGAGGAGAUUGGAAUUCAUGGUGUAGCAGUGAAAUGCAUAGAUAUCAUGAGGAAGACCAGUGGCGAAGGCGAAUCUCUGGACAAAUCCUGACGCUGAGGCACGAAGGCUAGGGUAGCGAACGGGAUUAGAUACCCUAGUAGUCC